AAAGGAAUAGACGGGGACCCGCACAAGCGGUGGAGCAUGUGGUUUAAUUCGAAGAUACGCGAAAAACCUUACCUGGCCUUGACAUUGAUAGAAUCCUGUAGAGAUACGGGAGUGCCGGCUUGCCGGAACUUGAAAACAGGUGCUGCACGGCUGUCGUCAGCUCGUGUCGUGAGAUGUUGGGUUAAGUCCCGCAACGAGCGCAACCCACGUCCUUAGUUGCCAGCAUUUCGGAUGGAGAACUCUAAGGAGACUGCCUUCGCAAGGAGGAGGAAGGUGUGGACGACGUCAAGUCAUCAUGGCCCUUACGGCCAGGGCUACACACGUGCUACAAUGGGGCGUACAAAGAGCAGCAAUACCGCGAGGUGGAGCAAAUCUCAAAAACGCCUCCCAGUUCAGAUUGCACUCUGCAACUCGAGUGCAUGAAGUUGGAAUCGCUAGUAAUCGUAGAUCAGCAUUGCUACGNGUGAAUACGUUCUCCGGGUCUUGUACUCACCGCCCGUCACACCAUGGGAGUUGAUUUCACCCGAAGCGGGGAUGCUAAAGUAGUACCUUUCACGGUGGAAUCAGCGA
rnacentral:rRNA from 1 species